AACGUAGGAGACAAACGUUAUCCGGAGUUACUGGGCGUAAAGGGCGUGUAGGCGGUUCGUUAAGUCUGGCGUGAAAGCUCUCGGCUAAACCGGGAGAGGUCGUUGGAUACUGGCAAACUAGAGGACGGUAGAGGCGUGUGGAAUUCCGGGUGUAGUGGUGAAAUGCGUAGAGAUCCGGAGGAACACCAGUGGCGAAGGCGGGUCUCUGGGCAUCUCCUGACGCUGAGGCGCGAAAGCGUGGGGAGCAAACGGG
rnacentral:rRNA from 1 species